UUUUGUCAUCUCGCAUCCUCACAGGAAGGGUUAAAAAUGCCUGCCUAUUCCCGAGCUCCCUGACAGGCCCCAAGACACCCCUUGCUUGAGUGCAGAGGUCCCCAUCCUAAAGACGCAGAGACAGCAGGUUAAGUAUCAGGAAAGUUAGAGUUGCUGGCUCUUGUUUCCAGAAAGCUCGUGGAGAGUCUCAGGGUCAGCAGUCUUUGCUGGUAGGCAGGAGCAGAGUGCUGGUGCCACAGUCUGUUCCUGUUCUCUGGGAGCGUAGUUGUUCCUUUUCACGAAUGGAACAUGAGGAACCCUAGGGGACAUGAGCUGCCCUGCCCUCCAUGGGACAGUUGUGAAAAAUGAAUCCCUUGGGGCCAAGACUUGGCCUCCAAACAAAGAAGAUAUUCAGAGGUUAAUCCGUGUUUUCCUUGGGGUUUCUUGAUCAAGGUCUC